UACGAAGGGUGCAAGCGUUACUCGGAAUUACUGGGCGUAAAGCGUGCGUAGGUGGUUUGUUAAGUCUGAUGUGAAAGCCCUGGGCUCAACCUGGGAAUUGCAUUGGAUACUGGCAGGCUAGAGUGCGGUAGAGGAUGGCGGAAUUCCCGGUGUAGCAGUGAAAUGCGUAGAUAUCGGGAGGAAUACCGAUGGCGAAGGCAGGUCUCUGGGCUGACACUGACGCUCAUGCACGAAAGCGUGGGGAGCAAACGGG
rnacentral:rRNA from 1 species